AGAGUUUGAUCCUGGCUCAGGACAAACGCUGGCGGCGUGCGUAACACAUGCAAGUCGAACGCCCUUCACGCGAGUGGAGGGAGUGGCGGACGGGUGAGGAAUUCAUGGGUAUCUACCUUCGGGUGGGGGAUACCGGCGAGAAAUCGCCGACAAUCCCGCAUAGGGUCACGGAGACGUGAGCAAAGCCGAGAGGCGCCGGGAGAUGAGCCUGUGGCCGAUUAGCUAGCUGGUGGGGUAAGGGCUCACCAGGGCGACGAUCGGUAGCUGGUCUGAGAGGAUGAUCAGCCACACUGGGAUUGAGAACGGCCCAGACUCCUACGGGGGGCAGCAGUGAGGAAUCUUCCGCUAUGGACGCAAGUCUGACGGAGCAACGCCGCGUGCAGGAGGACGCUUUUCGGAGUGUAAACUGCUUUUCUGCCGGACGAGUAUGGACGGUACCCCUGGAAGAAGCCUCGGCUAACUACGUGCCAGCUGCCGCGGUAAUACGUAGGAGGCGAGCGUUGUCCGGAGUUACUGGGCGUAAAGGGCGCGCAGGCGGCCCGCCGCGUUGGUGGUGAAAGUUGCGAGCUUAACU
rnacentral:rRNA from 1 species